UACGGAGGGGGCUUGCGUUGUUCGGAAUUACUGGGCGUAAAGCGCGCGUAGGCGGCUUUGUAAGUUAGAGGUGAAAGCCCAGGGCUCAACCCUGGAAUUGCCUUUAAGACUGCAUCGCUUGAACAUCGGAGAGGUAAGUGGAAUUCCGAGUGUAGAGGUGAAAUUCGUAGAUAUUCGGAAGAACACCAGUGGCGAAGGCGACUUACUGGACGAUUGUUGACGCUGAGGUGCGAAAGCGUGGGGAGCAAACAGG
rnacentral:rRNA from 1 species